AUGGGCACCAGCCUCCUGUGCUGUGUGGCCUUCGGUCUUCUGCAGGCAGGUCCAGGCAAUGCUGGUGUCACUCAGGACCCCAAAUUCCGGGUCCUGAGGACAGGACAGAGCGUGACCCUGAAAUGUGCCCAGGAUCUGGACCACUACUAUACGUGCUGGUACCGACAGGACCUGGGACAUGGGCUGAGGCUGAUCUAUUACUCGUCUGCCACUGGCACCGCCAACAAAGGAGAUGUCCCCGACGGGUACAGCGUCUCCAGAUCAAACCUCGAGGACUUCCCUCUCACGCUGGCGUCUGCCACCCCCUCCCAGACGUCUGUGUACCUCUGCGCCAGCAGGGCAUCGGGGAUGCCUAACGAUCGGUUCUCUGCUGAGAGGCCUGAGGGCUCGUACUCGCAUCUGAAGAUCCAGCCAGCGGAGCCCGGGGACUCGGCCGUGUGUCUCUGUGCCAGCAGCUUAAUCUAA